rnacentral:rRNA from 1 species
GAUGAACGCUGGCGGCGUGCCUAAUACAUGCAAGUCGAGCGAACGGACGAGAAGCUUGCUUCUCUGAUGUUAGCGGCGGACGGGUGAGUAACACGUGGAUAACCUACCUAUAAGACUGGGAUAACUUCGGGAAACCGGAGCUAAUACCGGAUAAUAUUUUGAACCGCAUGGUUCAAAAGUAAAAGACGGUCUUGCUGUCACUUAUAGAUGGAUCCGCGCUGCAUUAGCUAGUUGGUAAGGUAACGGCUUACCAAGGCAACGAUGCAUAGCCGACCUGAGAGGGUGAUCGGCCACACUGGAACUGAGACACGGUCCAGACUCCUACGGGAGGCAGCAGUAGGGAAUCUUCCGCAAUGGGCGAAAGCCUGACGGAGCAACGCCGCGUGAGUGAUGAAGGUCUUCGGAUCGUAAAACUCUGUUAUUAGGGAAGAAUAUAUGUGUAAGUAACUGUGCACAUCUUGACGGUACCUAAUCAGAAAGCCACGGCUAACUACGUGCCAGCAGCCGCGGUAAUACGUAGGUGGCAAGCGUUAUCCGGAAUUAUUGGGCGUAAAGCGCGCGUAGGCGGUUUUUUAAGUCUGAUGUGAAAGCCCACGGCUCAACCGUGGAGGGUCAUUGGAAACUGGAAAACUUGAGUGCAGAAGAGGAAAGUGGAAUUCCAUGUGUAGCGGCGAAAUGCGCAGAGAUAUGGAGGAACACCAGUGGCGAAGGCGACUUUCUGGUCUGUAACUGACGCUGAUGUGCGAAAGCGUGGGGAUCAAACAGGAUUAGAUACCCUGGUAGUCCACGCCGUAAACGAUGAGUGCUAAGUGUUAGGGGGUUUCCGCCCCUUAGUGCUGCAGCUAACGCAUUAAGCACUCCGCCUGGGGAGUACGACCGCAAGGUUGAAACUCAAAGGAAUUGACGGGGACCCGCACAAGCGGUGGAGCAUGUGGUUUAAUUCGAAGCAACGCGAAGAACCUUACCAAAUCUUGACAUCCUUUGACAACUCUAGAGAUAGAGCCUUCCCCUUCGGGGGACAAAGUGACAGGUGGUGCAUGGUUGUCGUCAGCUCGUGUCGUGAGAUGUUGGGUUAAGUCCCGCAACGAGCGCAACCCUUAAGCUUAGUUGCCAUCAUUAAGUUGGGCACUCUAAGUUGACUGCCGGUGACAAACCGGAGGAAGGUGGGGAUGACGUCAAAUCAUCAUGCCCCUUAUGAUUUGGGCUACACACGUGCUACAAUGGACAAUACAAAGGGCAGCGAAACCGCGAGGUCAAGCAAAUCCCAUAAAGUUGUUCUCAGUUCGGAUUGUAGUCUGCAACUCGACUACAUGAAGCUGGAAUCGCUAGUAAUCGUAGAUCAGCAUGCUACGGUGAAUACGUUCCCGGGUCU